ACCCGCUGAACUUAAGCAUAUCACUAAGCGGAGGAGAAGAAACUAACCAGGAUGCCCCUAGUAAUGGCGAAUGAAGCGGGCAGAGCUCACGCCGCCAAUCUGGAGGUCUUUUUCUAACGACCCCCCGAAUUGUAGUCUAGAAAGGCGCCAUCGGCCGCGUCCGCCGCUCAAAUCCCUUGGAACGGGGUAUCGGAGAAGGUGAGAAUCCUGUGCCGUGGCGGAUAGCGGUCGCACGAUGCGUCCUUGCAGAGUCGGGUUGCUUGGGAUUGCAGCUUGAAGUGGGUGGUAAAUUCCAUCUAAAGCUAAAUACUGGCGAGAGACCGAUAGCGAACAAGUACCGUGAGGGAAAGAUGCAAAGAACUUUGAAAAGAGAGUUAAAGAGUGCUUGAAAUCGGCAAGAGGAAACCCGUUUGUGCCCGGCUUCGCGCCGUCGACUCAGCCGCGCUUCUGCGCGGUGCACUUUGUCGGCGCGGGUCAGCCGCGGCUCUCCCUGCUUCACGAGGCUGUUUGCGGGGCUUUACGGCGAGCAUUCAGCUGGGUCGCGGGGGUGGCUCCGGCUGACGGAACGGGCACAACCGACCCGUCUAGAAACACGGACCAAGGAGUCUGACACGUGUGCGAGUACCCGGGUGGCAAGCCCGCGUGCGCAAUGAAAGUGAAGGGCGUGCCCCGCCAACCGACCUUGAUCUUCUGUGAAGGGUUUGAGUGUAGCACAUGCGUCGGGACCCGAAAGAUGGUGAACUAUGCCUGAGGAGGGUGAAGCCAGAGGAAACUCUGGUGGAGGCUCGUAGCGAUACUGACGUGCAAAUCGUUCGUCGAACUUGGGUAUAGGGGCGAAAGACUAAUCGAACCAUCUAGUAGCUGGUUCCCUCCGAAGUUUCCCUCAGGAAAGG
rnacentral:rRNA from 1 species